UCAUCUUCGGGGGUAGAGCACUGUUUCGGCUAGGGGGUCAUCCCGACUUACCAACCCGAUGCAAACUACGAAUACCGAAGAAUGUUAUCACGGGAGACACACGGCGGGUGCUAACGUCCGUCGUGAAGAGGGAAACAACCCAGACCGCCAGCUAAGGUCCCAAAGUCACAGUUAAGUGGGAAACGAUGUGGGAAGGCUCAGACAGCCAGGAUGUUGGCUUAGAAGCAGCCAUCAUUUAAAGAAAGCGUAAUAGCUCACUGGUCGAGUCGGCCUGCGCGGAAGAUGUAACGGGGCUAAACUGUGCACCGAAGCUGCGGCAGCGACACUAUGUGUUGUUGGGUAGGGGAGCGUUCUGUAAGCCGUUGAAGGUGUGUCGUGAGGCAUGCUGGAGGUAUCAGAAGUGCGAAUGCUGACAUAAGUAACGAUAAAGCGGGUGAAAAACCCGCUCGCCGGAAGACCAAGGGUUCCUGUCCAACGUUAAUCGGGGCAGGGUGAGUCGACCCCUAAGGCGAGGCCGAAAGGCGUAGUCGAUGGGAAACAGGUUAAUAUUCCUGUACUUGGUGUUACUGCGAAGGGGGGACGGAGAAGGCUAUGUUGGCCGGGCGACGGUUGUCCCGGUUUAAGCGUGUAGGUUUGCAGACCAGGUAAAUCCGGUCUGCUUCAAGACUGAGACGUGAUGACGAGGCACUACGGUGCUGAAGUAACAAAUGCCCUGCUUCCAGGAAAAGCCUCUAAGCAUCAGGUAACACGAAAUCGUACCCCAAACCGACACAGGUGGUCAGGUAGAGAAUACCAAGGCGCUUGAGAGAACUCGGGUGAAGGAACUAGGCAAAAUGGUGCCGUAACUUCGGGAGAAGGCACGCUGAUACGUAGGUGAAGCGGUUUACCCGUGGAGCUGAAAUCAGUCGAAGAUACCAGCUGGCUGCAACUGUUUAUUAAAAACACAGCACUGUGCAAACACGAAAGUGGACGUAUACGGUGUGACGCCUGCCCGGUGCCGGAAGGUUAAUUGAUGGGGUUAGCGCAAGCGAAGCUCUUGAUCGAAGCCCCGGUAAACGGCGGCCGUAACUAUAACGGUCCUAAGGUAGCGAAAUUCCUUGUCGGGUAAGUUCCGACCUGCACGAAUGGCGUAAUGAUGGCCAGGCUGUCUCCACCCGAGACUCAGUGAAAUUGAACUCGCUGUGAAGAUGCAGUGUACCCGCGGCAAGACGGAAAGACCCCGUGAACCUUUACUAUAGCUUGACACUGAACAUUGAGCCUUGAUGUGUAGGAUAGGUGGGAGGCUUUGAAGUGUGGACGCCAGUCUGCAUGGAGCCAACCUUGAAAUACCACCCUUUAAUGUUUGAUGUUCUAACGUAGACCCGUAAUCCGGGUUGCGGACAGUGUCUGGUGGGUAGUUUGACUGGGGCGGUCUCCUCCCAAAGAGUAACGGAGGAGCACGAAGGUUAGCUAAUCCUGGUCGGACAUCAGGAGGUUAGUGCAAUGGCAUAAGCUAGCUUGACUGCGAGCGUGACGGCGCGAGCAGGUGCGAAAGCAGGUCAUAGUGAUCCGGUGGUUCUGAAUGGAAGGGCCAUCGCUCAACGGAUAAAAGGUACUCCGGGGAUAACAGGCUGAUACCGCCCAAGAGUUCAUAUCGACGGCGGUGUUUGGCACCUCGAUGUCGGCUCAUCACAUCCUGGGGCUGAAGUAGGUCCCAAGGGUAUGGCUGUUCGCCAUUUAAAGUGGUACGCGAGCUGGGUUUAGAACGUCGUGAGACAGUUCGGUCCCUAUCUGCCGUGGGCGCUGGAGAAUUGAGGGGGGCUGCUCCUAGUACGAGAGGACCGGAGUGGACGCAUCACUGGUGUUCGGGUUGUCAUGCCAAUGGCAUUGCCCGGUAGCUACAUGCGGAAGAGAUAAGUGCUGAAAGCAUCUAAGCACGAAACUUGCCCCGAGAUGAGUUCUCCCUGAGACUUUAAGUCUCCUGAAGGAACGUUGAAGACGACGACGUUGAUAGGCUGGGUGUGUAAGUGCAGCGAUGCAUUGAGCUAACCAGUACUAAUGAACCGUGAGGCUUAACCUU
rnacentral:rRNA from 1 species